CCGCUGUUUUGGAGACGACAUCAGUAGAAUGGAGCUGAGGAUCAUUUGGUGCACUGUUGUGUUUUUGGUCUACCCAGACAGUGGUAGAGGCCAGACUAUGCGUGAGUCUGAGUCCGUGGUUCUUAAACCUGGAGACUCCCACAAACUGACCUGCACGUACUCUGGCUUUAGCAGUGAUCCUGAAGUAGUUUGGAUCAGACAAGCAGCUGGAAAAGGGCUGGACUGGUUGUCUUAUCUUUCCUCUGGCAGUGGGUCUAUAUAUUACUCACAAGCUGUCCAGGGACGGUUCACAACGACCAGAGACAACAGCAAGAGUCAAGUAUUUUUACACAUGAGCAAUCUGAGACCUGAAGACACAGCUGUGUACUACUGUGCUCGUGAAUCACAGUGACAGAAACAACUACACUGCUGAACAAAAACAACAUGUGG